rnacentral:rRNA from 1 species
CUCGUAGGCGGUUUGUCACGUCGUCUGUGAAAUUCCGGGGCUUAACUCCGGGCGUGCAGGCGAUACGGGCAUAACUUGAGUACUGUAGGGGUAACUGGAAUUCCUGGUGUAGCGGUGAAAUGCGCAGAUAUCAGGAGGAACACCGAUGGCGAAGGCAGGUUACUGGGCAGUUACUGACGCUGAGGAGCGAAAGCAUGGGUAGCGAACA